GUGAGCACAGGUGUGUUCAGGCGGCAGCGCAUUUGCACGCCCAGGUGUGGCUGCGCAGGUGUGCAAGAGCUGCCGCCCUUGUGCCGGUCUGUGGCCACACCCGCGGCUGUUACCUGUGCACGCUCACAGGUGCGUGGCACUGUCACACCUGCCCAGGUGCGUGGCACUGUCACACCUUCCUGAGUGUUUGUGCUCACACAGGUGCAUGGCACUGCCACACCUGCCCAGGUGUGUGGCACUUUCACACCUUCCUGAGUGUUUGUGCUCACACAGGUGUGUGGCACUGUCACACCUGCCCGAGUGUUUGUGCUCACACAGGUGCGUGGCACUGCCGCACCUGCCCAGGUGUGUGUGCUGCCCCACCUGUGCCCUGUCGCACACGCGUGUGCGGGGGGGCGCGGGGGCUGCGUGCGCACGGGGGCACACCUGGGCGUGCGGCCGUGUCCAGGUGUGCAUGAAGGGCUGUGAGUGCACAGUCCCAGGUGUGCACAGCUCAGGUGUGCCCAUGUGUGCCCAUCCCAGGUGUGCACAGGGAUCCAGGUGUGCCCAGGCGUGGCCAUCCCUGGUGUGCACAGCUCAGGUGUGCCCAUGUGUGCCCAUCCCAGGUGUGCACAGGGAUCCAGGUGUGCCCAGGCGUGGCCAUCCCUGGUGUGCACAGCUCAGGUGUGCCCAGGUGUGCCCAUCCCAGGUGUGCACAGGGAUCCAGGUGUGCCGCAGCCCAUCCAGGUGUGCACAGAAAUGCCCAAGUGUGCAUCCCCAGGUGUGCCCAGGUGUGCCCAAGGAUCCAGGUGUGCCCAUGUGCGCACAGCUUCAGGUAUGCCCAAGUGUGCACAAGGAUCCAGAUGUGCACAUUGCAGGUAUGCACAAGGAUCCAGGUGUGCCCCGGUGUGCCCAUCCAGGUGAGCCCAUCCAGGUGUGCCCAUCCAGGUGUGCCCAUCCAGGUGUGCACAGGGAUCCAGGUGAGCCCAUCCAGGUGUGCACAGGGAUCGAGGUGUGCCCAGGGACCCAGGUGAGCCCAUCCAGGUGUGCACAGGGAUCCAGGUGUGCCCAUCCAGGUGAGCCCAGCCCGGCCGUGCCGCAGCCCCCGCGCUGCCCCGGGGGUUUUUUUUGGGGGGGGUUGGGGGGGUCCCCGGGGUGGGUGGGGGAGGGGAGACUCACAGGCUCGGGGGGGCCCCGCGGUCCGGGGGGGCUCGGCCGGGCCCUGCGGGAGGAGGAGGAGGAGAGAGAAGCGUUAGGGGCCCCCCGCCCCCCGCUCCGGACACCUGUGGGAAGAAGCCGCGGCCCUGCCCGGCCCCGCCCCCACCUGCGCAGGCCCCGCCCCCACCUGCCCGCAGGCCCCGCCCCCGGCCCCGCCCCCGCCCCGCCCCCCCUCCGCGCGGACGGACGGACGGACACGGGGGCGACGCCCUGGCUGCGCCCGCGAGUGAGCCCGGGGAGCCCGGGAGUGACCCUUGGGUGACCCCGGAGUGACCCUGAGCUGACCCCGAGUGACCUUGGCUGGCCCUGACCGCGACUGACCGCGACUGACCCCCCACAACUGCCCCCGACUGCCC
rnacentral:lncRNA from 1 species